UGAAAGACCCCAGCUUAGCAGCAGUAACGCCAUUUUGCAAGGCUGUACUUAAGAUGACUGGUUCAGGGAAAGGUUAGAACACUGAGUACACAGCGGCUGCCAAGCAAGAUGUGUUUGGUUGAAGGCCUGGCAACAGGACGACUUCGGUUGAGCACCUGACAAUGAAAAAAAGCCCCGGGAGAGGUCCCACACCCUGGUGGGGGGCCGAGUCAGUCGUUAUGUUCCAAGAAGGUAGCUAAGAAACUUGCCCCCGGGCUGAACCCUUGGGGGGCCGAGUCAGCCGUUAUGUUUCAGGAAGGUAGCUAGGAAACUUGCCCCCAGGCUAAACCCUUGCCAUAUUAGAAUCCACCAAUUAUAUCCCUGUAACCAUGCAUCUGCUUCUGUAUGCUUGCUUCUGCUCCCCAAAAUCCUAUAAAAGCCCAUCCUUGGUUCCGUGGGGCGCGCCAGUCCCCCGAGUGACUGAAGCGCCCGCAGGUGCCUGUGCCUGUGUAUCCCGACAAUAAACCAAAUCCUCUUGCUGAUUGCAUCCUGUGGUGUCUCGGUCUGGUCUUUGGAGUUAGAGGGUCUCCAUCCCGAGGGAAAGUUCUCCCUGAGAGCUUUUCAUUUGGUGCAUUGGCCGGGAAAGGAGAUCCUCCACCCAGGGACCACCGACCACCCACUGGGAGGUAAGCCGGCCGGCGUCUGUCUGUCUGUCUGAUUUUGUCUCGUUCUGCCUUAUUCUGUCUGUUCUGUGAGCGCUCAGCCAGGUCUGUUCUGUGAGCGCUCAGCCAGGUUGUUUGGAAUUUGGGCGGGACGAAGAAGGAGCUGACGAGCUCGGACUUCUCGCCCCGCAGCCCUGGAAGACGUUCCAAGGGUGUUAGGGCCCGACUUUUCGGGGCCCAAUCUGGGACUCUGGUUAGAGGAGAAGGAUCCGGACUAACGGCACUCUGUCUGUAUUUUUGGCUUUCAGAGGGCCCCGGACCUUUGCCACCUCCAUCUGACUUUUUGCUUUCAGUUUGGUACCAAAGCCGUGCAGCACGCCUGUCUGUUGUUUGUUUGACUGUUGGUGUUGUUUGUUUUCUCUGUGUUCUAAUCUUCCUUAGAACUAACAUGGGACAGUCCCUAACAACGCCCCUAAGUCUCACUCUUGAUCAUUAGAAAGACGUCCACGACCGGGCACACAACCAGUCCGUCGAGGUUAAAAAAAAAAAGGAAAAGGGCAGACUCUCUACACAUCCGAGUGGCCCACUUUCGGAGCAGGAUGGCCAGUGAAUGGCACAUUUAAUAAGAUCAUUAUUUUACAGGUUAAAGAUCGGGUCGUCCACGGACAUCCUGACCAGGUUUCUUAUAUUAUCACUUGAGAGAGUCUCGCCUUAAACCCCCCCCCCGGGCGGAACCCUUCGUGGACCCGAAUUGGCCUCCCCUCAACCCCCAGCCUGUCCCCUCGGCCCCGCCCGGUCUGCCGGCCACGUCUUAAGAAACCUCUCCUCCCAGCAGACCCAAACUCCCCUCUCAUAGAUCUUCUCUCUGACAGGCCCGGCUGAAACGGAGGAGGCAGAGCCGCCGGCCAGAUCAGUUGCCGGGCCACAGUCUGAUAAGGGUUUCUCCCCUGUCGCAGGGAGAUCGCGCAAUAAGCACGAGGUGGUGCCAGAUACAACCUCCCAGGCUUUCCCACUUAGACAGGGAACCGGUGGCCAGACCCAAUACUGGCCGUUUUCAGCAGCUGACAUUUACAAUUGGAAACAACACAACCCUUCUUUCUCCAAAGAUCCGAUGGCACUCACCGACCUAAUAGAAUCUGUUUUACUUACCCACCAGCCUACUUGGGAUGACUGCCAACAGCUCUUACAGGCCCUCUUAACCUCAGAAAAAAAAAAACAAGGAGUGUUCCUAGAGGCCAGAAAGCAUGUUCUGGGAGAUGAUGGGCGUCCCACCCAGCUGCCUGAAAAAAUUGAUGCUGCAUUCCCACUUAAGAGACCAAACUGGGAUUUUAAUACAGCUGAAGGUAAGGGACACCUACGCCUUUAUCGCCAGUUGCUUCUAGCGGGUCUCCGAGGGGCUAUACGACGCCCUACUAAUUUGGCUCAGGUAAAACAGGUAUUACAGGAAGCAGGGGAAACUCCCUCCGCCUUUCUAGAGAGACUUAAGGAGGCCUACCGUAUGUACACUCCCUAUGAUCCAGAUGACCCAGGACAAAUGACGAGUGUCUCUAUGUCCUUCAUCUGGCAGGCUGCUCCAGAUAUCAAGACUAAGUUACAGAGGUUAAAAAAUUUGCAGGGCUAUACAUUACAGGAUUUACUUAAAGAAGCUGAAAAGAUUUUUAAUAAGAGAAAGAAUUGAGUCGAAUCUUGGCCGCCGUAGUACAGGGCCAAGAAAGGAAGGGAGAUAGGGGGGAGCUCGAAAGGGGCUGAAGCUGGAUAAAGAUCAAUGUGCCUAUUACAAAGAGAAAGGGCACUGGGCCAGAGAGUGCCCCAAGAAGCCUGGCGGACCCCGAAAGCCUCGACCACGAACCUCCCUCUUGGCUCUAGAUAAAGAUUAGGGAGGUCAGGGCCAGGAGCCCCCCCUGAGCCCAGGCUAACGCUUAAAGUUGGGGGGCAGCCGGUUGCUUUCCUGAUAGACACAGGAGCCCAGCAUUCAGUCCUCACUCAAGCUUCAGGACAACUCAGCGACCGGAUGGCCUGGGUACAAGGAGCUACUGGUGAGAAACAAUACCGAUGGACUACGGACCGCCGGGUUCAGCUGGCUACUGGUAAGGUGACCCAUUCCUUCUUACAUGUUCCGGACUGCCCGUACCCUCUGCUGGGCCGUGACCUGCUCACCAAACUAAAAGCACAAAUUCAUUUUGAGGAAGGAGGGGCCCAAAUAACUGGCCCCCACGGAACUCCCCUUCAAGUUCUAACCCUAUGAACCGGGACAGGACACUGGCUUGGGCAGAGACUGGUGGGAUGGGGUUGGCGCUCCAACAGCCCCCCUUAAUUACAACUCCAGUCUCCAUAAAACAAUACCCCCUGUCACAUAAAGCUUAUCAAGGUAUAAGGCUUCACAUUACGAGGCUUCUAGAUCAAGGCAUCCCAGUCCCCUGCCGGUCGCCUUGGAAUACGCCUCUUCUGCCUGUUAAGAAACCUGGCACUGGAGCUUAUAGGCCAGUACAAGACUUGAGAGAGGUCAACAAGAGGAUAGAAGAUAUUCAUCUGACUGUUCCAAACCCUUACAAUUUGCUCAGUAACUGUUCAUUGAUGAGAAACGGGUAUGCUAAAGGGUCCUAACACAAAGGUUGGGACCCUAGAAACGCCCUGUGGCCUACCUGUCUAAGAAAUUGGACCCUGUGGCCUCCGGCUGGCCACCGUGCCUAAGGAUGGUGGCUGCUAUUGCUGUCCUGAUCAAGGAUGCUAGAAAAUUGACUUUGGGACAGCCACUCGCCAUCCUAGCACCCCACACAGUGGAGGCCUUGGUAAAGCAGCCCCCAGACCGCUGGCUCUCUAAUUCCCACAUGACCCACUACCAAGCCUUGUUACUGGAUGCAGAACAGGUUCAGUUUGGACCCGUAGUCGCCCUCAAUCCUGCCACCUUGCUUCCCCUACCAGAGGAGGCAGAACAGCAUGACUGCCUACAAAUCCUCACAGAAGUACAUAGAACCAGGCCGGACCUAUCGGACCAGCCUCUUCAGAAUGCUGACCACACAUGGUACACGGAUGACAACAGCUUCUUGGCAGAGGGAGAGCGAAAGGCUGGAGCUGCGGUCACUACGGAGGACAAAGUGAUUUGGGCGAAAGCCCUGCCUGCUGGUACCUCCGCACAACGGGCUAAACUCAUAUGGCCUUGACUCAGGUGUUCAAGAUGACAAAAGGUAAGAGGCUAAAUAUAUAUACAGACAGCCGUUAUGCCUUUGCCACGGCACACAUCCACGGGGAGAUCUACCGGAGGCGGGAGCUGCUCACAUCUAAGGGUAAAGAUAUUAAAAAUAAGGCUAAAAUUCUGGCCCUCUUAGAAGCCCUAUUCUUGCCCAAAAGACUGAGUAUUAUACAUUGUCCAGGACACCAGAAAGGGCACAACCCAGAGGCACGAAGAAACCGGCUGGCCGAUGCCACGGCGCGAGAAGCGGCCAUGAACAAACAAAUCUUGCCCUUAAAUAGCCCAGACCAACCCACACCCCCACCAGUGGGACAAACUAGUUGGGUUUAUGCCCAUGAGGACAUAGAGCUCCUAGAAAAAAUGGGGGCCAUCUACCACCCUCAACUAAAACAGUGGGUCUACAGUUAUGCCAAUAAAAAUGACUUUUGAAUUGAUCUCCUUUUUACAUAAAUUAACCCAUUUGGGGUUUAAGAAGAUGAAAACCUUACUAGAUCGGGAAGAGAUAAAUCUGUGUUUUUUUGAAUCGGGACAAAGCGAUACAAAAGGUGACUGAGAGUUACAAAGCGUGCGCUCAGGUUAACCCGGAAAGGACCAUGAUUGAACAAGGAGUUCGUCCUAGGGGACACCGUCCUGACAUCCAUUGAGAAAUUGAUUUUACUAAAAUUAAACCAGAUAUAUAUGGAUACAAGUAUCUCCUAGUGUUUGUAGACACCUUCUCAGGAUGGGUCAAAGCCUUCCCCACAAAACACGAGACUACAAAAAUGGUCACCAAGAAGCUCCUCGAGGAAAUCUUUCCCAGCCCUUCUCUGAGGGCCCAUUUACAGGCCCUACAGAUUGUGCAGAGAGACGUCUGGAGACCUUUGGCCGCUGCUUACCAGGACAAGCUUGAACAUCCGGUGGUGCCACACCUGUUCCAGAUUAGAGACACCGUGUGGGUGCACAGACACCAGACCAAGAAUCUCGAGCCACGGUAGAAAGGACCCUACACCGUCCUCCUGACUACCCCGACCGCCCUAAAGGUAGACGGAGUCUCGGCUUAGAUCCACACACCACACGUCAAGACAGUCCGGUCUGAGGAAUUGACUAAUCACAACACUACACCCCAGACAUGGAGAGUUCAGCACACUCCAAACCCCUUAAAGUUAAAACACCUACGUGGCUCCUCCUAGCCCUUUUGUGGCCUAGAGUCAGUGGGGGAAUAAGCCCCCACCAGACAGAAAUUUCUUGACCAAGUCGAGUGAAAGAUUUCACUCAAAGUUAGCAAGAAAAAUGGGGGAAUGAAAGACCCCAGCUUAGCAGCAGUAACGCCAUUUUGCAAGGCUGUACUUAAGAUGACUGGUUCAGGGAAUGGUUAGAACACUGAGUACACAGCGGCUGCCAAGCAAGAUGUGUUUGGUUGAAGGCCUGGCAACAGGACGACUUCGGUUGAGCACCUGACAAUGAAAAAAAGCCCCGGGAGAGGUCCCACACCCUGGUGGGGGGCCGAGUCAGUCGUUAUGUUCCAAGAAGGUAGCUAAGAAACUUGCCCCCGGGCUGAACCCUUGGGGGGCCGAGUCAGCCGUUAUGUUUCAGGAAGGUAGCUAGGAAACUUGCCCCCAGGCUAAACCCUUGCCAUAUUAGAAUCCACCAAUUAUAUCCCUGUAACCAUGCAUCUGCUUCUGUAUGCUUGCUUCUGCUCCCCAAAAUCCUAUAAAAGCCCAUCCUUGGUUCCGUGGGGCGCGCCAGUCCCCCGAGUGACUGAAGCGCCCGCAGGUGCCUGUGCCUGUGUAUCCCGACAAUAAACCAAAUCCUCUUGCUGAUUGCA